rnacentral:rRNA from 2 species
AACAGGAUUAGAUACCCGGGUAAGUCCAUACCCGUAAACGAUGAAAUGCUAAGUGGUUGGAGGGUUUUCCGCCCUUCAGUGCUGCAGCUAAACGCAUUAAGCAUUCCGCCUGGGGAGUACGGCCGCAAGGCUGAAACUCAAAGGAAUUGACGGGGGCCCGCACAAGCGGUGGAGCAUGUGGUUUAAUUCGAAGCUACGCGAAGAACCUUACCAGGUCUUGACAUACUAUGCAAAUCUAAGAGAUUAGACGUUCCCUUCGGGGACAUGGAUACAGGUGGUGCAUGGUUGUCGUCAGCUCGUGUCGUGAGAUGUUGGGUUAAGUCCCGCAACGAGCGCAACCCUUAUUAUCAGUUGCCAGCAUUAAGUUGGGCACUCUGGUGAGACUGCCGGUGACAAACCGGAGGAAGGUGGGGAUGACGUCAAAUCAUCAUGCCCCUUAUGACCUGGGCUACACACGUGCUACAAUGGAUGGUACAACGAGUUGCGAACUCGCGAGAGUAAGCUAAUCUCUUAAAGCCAUUCUCAGUUCGGAUUGUAGGCUGCAAC